UACAGAGGUCUCGAGCGUUAGGCGGAAUCACUGGGCUUAAAGCGUGUGUAGGCGGAUCGGUAAGUACCUUGUGAAAUCCCACAGCUUAACUGUGGAACUGCUUGGUAUACUGCCAGUCUUGAGCCAGCUAGGGGCUACCGGAACAAAUGGUGGAGCGGUGAAAUGCGUAGAUAUCAUUUGGAACGCCAAUGGUGAAAACAGGUAGCUGGGGCUGUGCUGACGCUGGAGACACGAAAGCCAGGGGAGCAAACGGG
rnacentral:rRNA from 1 species